CGAACGCUGGCGGCGUGCUUAACACAUGCAAGUCGACCGGAAAGGCCCCUUUGGGGGUACUCGAGUGGCGAACGGGUGAGUAACACGUGAGUAACCUGCCCUUGACUUCGGGAUAACUUCAGGAAACUGGGGCUAAUACCGGAUAGGAAUCCUUGCUGCAUGGUGGGGGUUGGAAAGCUUCGGCGGUUUUGGAUGGACUCGCGGCUUAUCUGCUUGUUGGUGGGGUAGUGGCUUACCAAGGCUUUGACGGGUAGCCGGCCUGAGAGGGCGACCGGCCACAUUGGGACUGAGAUACGGCCCAGACUCCUACGGGAGGCAGCAGUGGGGAAUAUUGCACAAUGGGCGGAAGCCUGAUGCAGCAACGCCGCGUGCGGGAUGACGGCCUUCGGGUUGUAAACCGCUUUCAGCAGGGGCGAAGCUUGUGGUGACGGUACCUGCAGAAGAAGCACCGGCUAACUACGUG
rnacentral:rRNA from 1 species